rnacentral:rRNA from 1 species
AUAGCCUACGGAAGUACUGCACUGGUAGUGGGGGACAACGUUUCGAAAGGAACGCUAAUACCGCAUACGUCCUACGGGAGAAAGCAGGGGACCUUCGGGCCUUGCGCUAUCAGAUGAGCCUAGGUCGGAUUAGCUAGUUGGUGAGGUAAUGGCUAACCAAGGCGACGAUCCGUAACUGGUCUGAGAGGAUGAUCAGUCACACUGGAACUGAGACACGGUCCAG